rnacentral:rRNA from 1 species
UACGUAGGGGGCGAGCGUUAAUCGGAAUUACUGGGCGUAAAGCGUGCGCAGGCGGUUCUGAAAGUCAGCUGUGAAAGCCCCGGGCUUAACCUGGGAACUGCGGUUGAAACUACAGGACUAGAAUCUGGCAGAGGGGGGUGGAAUUCCACGUGUAGCAGUGAAAUGCGUAGAGAUGUGGAGGAACACCGAUGGCGAAGGCAGCCCCCUGGGCUGAGAUUGACGCUCAGGCACGAAAGCGUGGGGAGCAAACAGG